GGCGCUAUGUGAAUUUUUUCUCUUUCAAACAUUAAUAUUCUUAAUUCACUUUCCUUGUGAGCUAGAUAGCUAUUUAUAACAAACAACAUGACGAUAUGAAUAAAACUUGGACACUCUUAGUAAAAAUAACAGGAAACAAUAACAAGCCAGUAUCGUUUAACUUCUAUAAACACUUUUCUGACUUAAGGAUGUUCGCUACUCUUUU
rnacentral:lncRNA from 1 species